UUUCGCGGGCAGUCUGACUGCAAUAUUCGCUUUCACUUUGACCACGGAUGUACUGGCACUGAUGCGAAGCGAAUGACGAAAGGCCGGUUUCAACCCGGCCUUUUUGUUC
rnacentral:sRNA from 1 species